rnacentral:rRNA from 1 species
GACGAACGCUGGCGGCGUGCUUAACACAUGCAAGUCGAACGGAAAGGCCCUGCUUUUGUGGGGUGCUCGAGUGGCGAACGGGUGAGUAACACGUGAGUAACCUGCCCUUGACUUUGGGAUAACUUCAGGAAACUGGGGCUAAUACCGGAUAGGAGCUCCUGCUGCAUGGUGGGGGUUGGAAAGUUUCGGCGGUUGGGGAUGGACUCGCGGCUUAUCAGCUUGUUGGUGGGGUAGUGGCUUACCAAGGCUUUGACGGGUAGCCGGCCUGAGAGGGUGACCGGCCACAUUGGGACGGAGAGACGGCCCAGACUCCUACGGGAGGGAGCAGUGGGGAAUAUUGCACAAUGGGCGGAAGCCAGAUGCAGCAACGCCGCGUGCGGGAGGACGGCAUUCGGGUGGUAAACAGCUUUCGCCUGUGACGAAGCGUGAGGGACGGUAAUGGGUAAAGAAGCACCGGCUAACUACGU